UGGGUUAGUGUAGUGUAUGGUUAGUGUAGUGUGGGUUAGUGUAGUGUAUGGUUAGUGUAGUGUGGGUUAGUGUAGUGUAUGGUUAGUGUAGUGUGGGUUAGUGUAGUGUAUGGUUAGUGUAGUGUGGGUUAGUGUAGUGUAGAGUUAGUGUAGUGUGGGUUAGUGUAGUGUAUGGUUAGUGUAGUUGUGGGUUAGUGUAGUGUAUGGUUAGUGUAGUGUAUGGUUAGUGUAGUGUAUGGUUAGUGUAGUGUGGGGUUAGUGUAGUGUAGGGUUAGUGUAGUGUGGGGUUAGUGUAGUGUAGGAUUAGUGUAGUGUGGGGUUAGUGUAGUGUAGGAUUAGUGUAGUGUAUGGUUAGUGUAGUGUAUGGUUAGUGUUGUGUAUGGUUAGUGUAGUGUGGGGUUAGUGUAGUGUAGGGUUAGUGUAGUGUGGGUUUAGUGUAGUGCAGGGUUAGUGUAGUGUGGGUUUAGUGUAGUGUAUGUGUAGUGUACGGUUAGUGUAGUGUGGGUUUAGUGUAGUGUGAGAUUAGUAUAGUGUAUGGUUAGCGUAGUGUAUGGUAGGAUUAGUGUAGUGUAUGUUUUAGUGUAGUGUGGGGUUAGUGUAGUGUA
ensembl:lncRNA